UACGAGGGGUCCUAGCGUUGUUCGGAAUCAUUGGGCGUAAAGCGGGUGUAGGCGGAUUGAUAAGUCAGAUGUGAAAGCCCUGGGCUCAACCCAGGAAGUGCAUUUGAUACUGUUGAUCUUGAGUGUGGUAGAGGCUAGUGGAAUUCCUGGUGUAGUGGUGAAAUACGUAGAUAUCAGGAGGAACAUCGGUGGCGAAGGCGGCUAGCUGGACCAACACUGACGCUCAGACCCGAAAGCGUGGGGAGCAAACAGG
rnacentral:rRNA from 1 species